GGCUCAAACACCACAAAAUAAAAAUAAUAGUGGGCAAUUACCCUGAAAUUCUAUAUUUAGCAACUGGUGGCUAUAAGUUAACUUUCUGUUAUUUACCUUAUGACAUGGAGGGGAAAAAAAGGCAUUUUAGGUGACACAAUCUAGUUGAUUUGGUUAGCAAGCACAGCCUGGAACAAAGAGCAAAGAUCUUGCAAAAGUUACUGUGAUGAAAAGACUGCUUUUUGCUGCUAUAGCCAUAGUCUGCACACCUUUUACUCAUGAAUGCAGAGUAUGGAUGAAGCUGUUGUAUCAACCUGAUUACUUAUUUCUGACUGUGAGUCCUCAAAAUGGACCACAUAAUCAAGCUAAAUAGCAAGCAAGCAAACACAAUGUAAAAGCAAACCCAUGGGUUUAUAUCAUCCUUGGAAACACAGCUGCUAAAGCCAGGAUGUUUUUCAGACUCCAUUAUGACCUCACAAAGGGGAAGGGUCACCUUUGGCAUUCAAGCAACAAUGAAGAUUACCUGCAUUCAACCCUAAACAUGACACGGCCAUGAAGAGAGACAGCGAUGCCCACCAUCACCCACUCAAGCUCUCACUGCAAAUCUUCUGGUGUUUUGUGGUUUUGACUCCUGUCCCAUUUUAGUUGUGAUUUAACUGAUAAGACACGACCGCGUGGGAGAUUUUGGAGCCUGAAGUGGAUGCUCUGAGGGGUGACAUUCAAUUCAUUGUAUGGGGUUCCAGCUCACUUUCCUGUGUUUUCAGAGGCCAAGGAGGCUAGCAAAUGUAGAUUUUCAAGUGGAAUAACUGCACAUCAGGUUCUCAUAUAAACUGCUUUUCUUCUCUGGAAACCACCGCUGUUCUUACACUUUGCUUGGACAGCAGGAUUGCCGUGCAAGUACAACCCUCUAUCUACAUCAAGAAGUGGAUGGUCUAAAGCUUAAUCUGGGCACUGCUCAGCACUAGUGUUUUAAAUGACCCGCAUUAUGUUCAACUGUGCAGGGAAAGUAGACUGCAUGUUUUUCUUCUCUGAUGCUAGCUGACCUUUUCAAGCACGUUGCUAAAUGAAGAAUCAACCUGAUAUUCCUCUGCAACCACAGACAAAAUCACCGCACGCCGACCAGACAUCCUUCCACAGCAGGCAGCGCUAUGCUGUAUGCGGAACAUGAACUGAGCUCUCGCUUACUGAUGUGUGCCCUCAAAGAGCAGCAAGCUGGCUAGGACGCUGGAGGUAAAAAUGACACUAAAUCAAUUACUUACCCUCAAACGUCUUGUUUUAAAUCUGUUGCUUCCACCUGGUCAUAGCGUGAAGCGGGACUGCUAUGAUUCGCCAAGAGAAGAUUAAACUUGACAAGGGGGAUUUAUUUAAUGUUGCUUAACUCACAAAAACCUGAAAUAAAAUUGCCUUCGGUUCAGCCAAGAUUUCU